rnacentral:lncRNA from 1 species
AAAUUUACUAGGAGGGAAGUCCAGGAGUCAGAGGGAUUCGGGCUCAGCUAACCUAAGAGGAUUCUUGCUGAAGACAGGCCAGGGUGCUCAGACAUCACCUGGGGGACCGCGGAGGAUGAGGAAACUAAUCAGAUAUCGAGGGUGAUCAGAAAUCGAAGAUGGGUGGUUGCUACUAAACAGACUUAGCAGAGUUCAUGCCAAAACUGAAUUUUUCUUUCUUUCUUUUCUUUUUUUUUUUUGAGACAGAGUCUCACUCUGUCCCCCAGGCUAGAGCGCAGUUGCGCCAUCUCCGCUCACUGCAACCUCCGCCUUCCAGGUUCAAGCGAUUCUUCUGCCUCAGACUCCCGAGUAGCUGGGAUUAUAGGCACCCGCCAUCGUGCCCGGCUAAUUUUUGUAUUUUUUAGUAGAGUUGGAUUUCACCAUCUUGGCCAGGCUGGUCUUGAACUCCUGACCUCAUGAUCCACCUGCCUCCACCUCCCAAAGUGCUGGGAUUACAGACGUGAGCCACCUCGCCUGGCCCAAAACUGAAUUUUUAUAAGGAACCUCACUGAUGGGCUUAGGAGAAGAUUCAGAAAUCCGAUUAAUGUUUGGUCAAUCAAAGCAUCUUUAUAGGCAGUAACAUUAUUCCCAGGCACCUCCAGGUUGUUAGUUUUCCUCCUUAUAAACGGACAUAACAGUAGCCAACUCACAGAUGUACCAUGAAGAAUACAUGAGGUGAAAAAACAGAGGCACAGAGGUUUGACCCUUGCACACAGAUAUGGAGUGGCAGAGCCUGGGUGGGAACCUGGGUUGUUCUGAAUCCCGGAUCUGUGCUUAACCGACAGACAGAGACCCCUGCCCUCCUCCCCAGCUGAGAAAGAAUGGUGGGGACCCCACGGCAUGACAUGUCCCGAGUGACUGGGCCCCCACUGGAUGUAGGGUGAGCUCAUCAGGCUGGAAGCUUCGGGCUGACGUCAUGGCUGGGCACAGAAGCUUCAGCUCUCUCUGUAAUUACAGCUGGGCGGGGCUGGCUGAGUUGGAAACCAGUUGUGGGGAGAAUCACUGCAAGCCGCAUGACGCACCGGAGAAACCUGGCCCUGCCUGGGACCUGGGCAGGGGCUGGGACCCCCCCUACAAUGACACUAAUGGAAUUCCCAGCAUACUCGGCUCCAUGAAAGCAGGACCCUUGGGAGUCCUGUUCACAGUAGCAUCCCCAGCGCCUAGAGGGAGCCUGCUGCACUGUAGAAGCCCAGCAUAUCUUGGAUGAGUAGAUGAUGUCGUAUCAGCAACCCUGGGUCUGAAUUGCCAACUCCCACUGGGUAGACUCUACAUGCAGUAACAACAUCAACAUAUUAACUAAUUUCUGCAGUCCAUAGAAGAUGAGGAAACUGAGGCAAAAGACAUGAGGUGACCUGCCUGAGGCCACCAGCUUAUGGAUUCUGAACCCAGGUCUGUCUGAACUUUAAGCCCAGGCCUCUUUUCUCUGCCACACACCCCAGCAAGAAUGAAUAAAUAAACAAAAUAAAACAAACAGCCUGCACUGGGUCCCUCCCUAAAUGAGCCUAUGCCCUCACAAUCCUGGGAAAGUAACACUUACUUAUUGGAGCUCUGGCUUUCUUCUAUUAUUUUCUCCAAAAUUCUUUCCAGGAAUUGCCUUCCCUGACCACCUCUGCAAAUAAUAAUGAUAGCAGUAGUAAUAAUAAUAAUAAGUGCAUAUUUAACAUUUAGUACCAAUUGUAAGUGCUUUGCAUAUAUCAAAUUAUUUAAUUCUCACCUGAAUUGCUCUAAGGUAGGUAUUAUUAUCCCCAUUCACAGAUGACAACAUCAAGGCACAGAAUGGUUAAAUAACUUGCCCAAGGUCACACAGUUACUAAGUGGCAAGUAGCUGUGUCUAGGCAAUCCGGCUCCAGGGUCUGUUCUUAACCACUAUGUGAUUCUGUUGUUGUGAAUAACAACAACAAAAUGACAGUAAUGAUACCCAUCAUUAUUUGAGAACUAUCACAUCCCAAGCUCUGCUAAAUGCCCUAUAUGUUGUGCCUCUUUUAAUCGUCAUAACAAUCCUUGGAGGUAGAAGUCCUAUUGUUAACCACAUUUUACGGUUGAACAACCUAAGGCCCAGGGUCAGAUCCGGGAUUACUGGCUGCAAAGCCUGUACCUUCAGCAGCCCAGGGAGCCUGUGCCACCUGACCCCUGGUGUAUGCCCAGCCAGAGCACUGGCCUUCCAAACCCAGAUCUACCGGCAGAACACAGCUGAACUUCAGGUCACUGGACCACCUCUUCCCCCACCUUCUUGCUGGGCUUCUCUCUCUGAAACCUUCUUCAGCCCUUCCAAACUUUCUCAGCAGAACAAAUGACACCAGGAACACGCUGACAUUUGGGAGAGUGACGACUGCCUGGAAGGAGCUAUCACACAUCGAGCAGAGGAUCCUUACAUGUUAUUAAUGUGAAAGCCACUUGGAGCUAGGGCAGGGGUGGGGGCCCCGCAAGCUCAAUGGGAGCUCCUCUCUGCUGCAGGUGCCGCCAACAGAAGGGAGUCAGGGCUCAGCUAUGGGACGGAGAGGAUCAUCCUGCCCUCUCUCCACCCAUCCUCAAGGAGGGACAUCCCCAGCCGGGCUCUCAGGGGCUCUAUUUCUUAUACCUGAGCCUAAAUCAAGGCCUCUGGGAUCUUUCAUGGUCCAAAUACUUAUUCCAGGUUCAGGGAACCAAUAUCUCAACUAACCAGAAUUUUCAGGAAGUGACCGGGCUGCUAUUUCCCACUUAAGAAAGACAGUAAAACAUAGUGGGUAGGAACUCGACCAGAUAUGGAUUUGAAUCCCAUUAGCUCUGCUGCUCUGGGCAAGGAACUUAGUCUCUCUGAACCUCUGUCUUGUCAUCUGUAAAAUGGAGAUGAUCUCAAGACCCAUCUCCUUGAGUAAUUGUCAGCAUAGAUUAUCAGGGAAAAUGGUCUGGGAGGUGAGCGUGCCCUUGAUCACAUUGGACCUUGCAGACUCUAUUAAGAGGUUAGACUUUGUCCCGAGCACACUGAAGAACCAUUGAACUGUUUGGAGGAGGAGAGUGCUGUGAUGAGAACUGAGUUCCAGGAAAAUCAUCGUCUGCUUUUGGAGAAGAUCUUUUGGGGGCUUUAGGGAGACCAGUUAGGAGGCUGUUGUAGUGGUCCCAGUGAAAUGGCAACCUUGGCUGGGUUGUUGGCUGAGGAGCGGUAAAGCGUGGAUAAAAUCAUGAUCUAUUAAAGAAGCAGGAGCAUUUUGAGUGCUGAUUGCGAUGAGAGGGGGAGAGAAGUUUGGAUCAAAUGAAUGUCUCGGUUUUCAGACCUUUCAACGGGGUGAAUGGUGGUGCCACUCAGUGAACAUGUGAGGAGGAGCAGAUGCGGGGAGUGGGAGACACAGUCUGUUCAUUUACUCACGGAUUCAUUCAUUCCAUAAUUGUUACGUUCUCACUUGGAAAGCACUAGCCGAGGGGCUAGAGAUGAAGCAGUAAAUGAGGCAAAAGUCCCUGCUUUCAUGUGUAUCAAUAAACGGAUUGUAAAAGGAAAAUAAAUCUCGGGUCCCCCAAAUCACUAAGCUAAAGGGAAAAGUCAAGCUGUGAACAGCUGAGGGCAAACCUGCCUUCCAUUCUAUUCGAAGUCACCCCUCUGCUCACUGACUGAGAUAUAUACAUAUCUGAUUGCCUUCUUUGGAGAGGCUAAUCAGAAACUGGAAGGAAUGCAACCAUUUGUCUCUUAUCUACCUAUGACCUGGAAGCCCUUGCCCUGCUUUGAGUUGUCCCGCCUUGUCC